rnacentral:rRNA from 2 species
CGGUAGCUAAAUGCGGAAGAGAUAAGUGCUGAAAGCAUCUAAGCACGAAACUUGCCCCGAGAUGAGUUCUCCCUGACCCUUUAAGGGUCCUGAAGGAACGUUGAAGACGACGACGUUGAUAGGCCGGGUGUGUAAGCGCAGCGAUGCGUUGAGCUAACCGGUACUAAUGAACCGUGAGGCUUAACCUUACAACGCCGAAG